rnacentral:lncRNA from 1 species
AUUCAUUAAAUGCCACAAUAUUUUUUAUCUUCUAACCUUUUAAAAUGUAUCAGAUCACUGUUUUAAGGGUGGGGCUCUUUGGAAGAAGCCAGUAAAGGUGAGAUCGUUGUAAGCCCGCACCAAAAAGACAUCUUGAUUAGAGAUGUUAGCGUUGGUCUAAAACAUGAAAAUAUUAGUUGAUGGUGAAAUAAAAUGCAUAGGAUAUUAUUUGGGUUUCUUCCUACUUGGGCAGUUCCCAUGUCUGUCGAUCACAAAAGAAGUAGACAACAGUAAAUUCUCAAAAGGGAGGAAUAAAUAAUUGCUCAAAAAAUUUCAAACAACUUGAAUUUGGAAAGCCAUGGCACAAAUGUGACCCCUUUUUCAACUGCAACCCUCCAGUCCUCACUCCCUCCAGACACCUCCACUCAGUCUCCCUCUGCCCUCCCCAAGCACUCUCUUCUCCUUCUCUUUUCUUUUCUUUCUUUCUUUCUGACUCCUCUCUUGUAUUUAUUAUAUAAAUUUAGGGGGGACAAGUAAAAUUGUGUUACAUGGAUAUGUUGUGUAGUGGUGAAGUCUGGGCUUUUAGUGUAUCCAUCACCAGAAUAGUGAACGUUGCACCCGUUAUGUAAUUUCUUAUCCUUCACUCCCAUCCCAUCUCCCUCCUUUCCGAGUCUCCAGUGUCUAUUAACCCAUGCUGUAUAUCCAUGUGUACACAUUAUUUAGCUCCCACUUGGAAGUGAGAACAUGCGGUAUUUGACUUUGUUUCUGAGUUAUUUCUUUAUUUUAUCGAGCCCUCAGCCUUUCUGAAGUGCAAGUUCCGGCACAGGGGUUGAUAAUCCACAGUUCACAGACACUCAGCAUGUCUACAAGCCCUCUGAAUGUGCAUGCAUUUGUGUUUCUGUGAGCAGUGCUCAGAGAGGAGGGUUGACAGCUUCCAUCACAUUCCCUAGGGCGAUGCUCACCCCUACAGGUGCACACAAACAUGCAAAAUACGAAUCUGCUAUAAAGUCUAAGUGUGUUUGAAUAAGGAAGACAGGGUGGCAGUUUAGAGAAGUGAGUAAGAUGGCUGAAGAUCAGCCUGCAGGAGCCGUGGGAGUUCAAGAGGGUCCCAUGCAGCAUGAGAGGACAGAGACUCAGUAAAGAUUUGGAGCAGAAGAAACAUCUGCUGAGGUCCAAGUUUAAGAACGUUUAGCACCAAAGGAAAGUAGAAACAUAUUCUUCUUUUGAAUUAAUUUAGGUAAAAUUGCAAAAAAUAUUUAGUGAUUUGAAAGAUAAGCAAAUUUGUCUUUGCUUUCCUUUUGUCUUUGUCCAAAGACAGGAGAGGAAGAGAAGGGAAAAGGCGGAAUUAACUACAUAAUUCAUCAUCAUAUAUUUAUUUGUUGACCUGGAAGAAAGCCCAUUUGAAUUUCAUUUUAAAGGAUUAUAUUUAACGUUUAGAAAUGUGAAACAGAUUAAAAGUCCAUAUGCUGUUUUUAUAAAAAAUAAACAUGAGGAAACUAUACAGAAUAUACAAGCUUAGUAUUUUUUCCUUAAGUAAAAUAAUUUAAACGUGUACUGUUUAAAUGUGACAGUGGCUAUCCUUCUUGUAUGCUUAUAGCACAGUGUGCAAAAAUAUCCUCUCUAAAUUUAUGAUUAAUAUGUUUAAUUAGAGACAUUUCUCCUUGUUAUGACUUGACAAGUAUUCACUUCAAUUAGUAACCAUGCACUCAUAAACCAAAUUAAUAUUCUGCUUCCUCCUUUAAGUGCAAAAUUAAUCUGAAAAAUGUAAUCAAAUAAGCACUAUAUUUAAAUGUGGUGUGCUUUCCUUCUUCUUCAUCUCACUCUUCCUCUUCCUCCUCCUU